CCUACGGGAGGCAGCAGUGAGGAAUAUUGGUCAAUGGACGAGAGUCUGAACCAGCCAAGUCGCGUGAAGGAUGACUGCCCUAUGGGUUGUAAACUUCUUUUAUAUGGGAAUAAAAUGUUCCACGUGUGGGAUUUUGUAUGUACCAUAUGAAUAAGGAUCGGCUAACUCCGUGCCAGCAGCCGCGGUAAUACGGAGGAUCCGAGCGUUUUCCGGAUUUAUUGGGUUUAAAGGGAGCGUAGGUGGGUUGUUAAGUCAGUUGUGAAAGCUUGCGGCUCAACCGUAGAAUUGCCGUUGAUACUGGCAGACUUGAGUACAGUUGAGGUGGGCGGAAUGCGUGGUGUAGCGGUGAAAUGCUUAGAUAUCACGAAGAACUCCGAUUGCGAAGGCAGUUCACUGGACUGCAACUGACGCUGAGGCACGAAAGCGUGGGUAUCAAACAGGAUUAGAUACCCCAGUAGUC
rnacentral:rRNA from 1 species